rnacentral:rRNA from 1 species
GUAGGGUGCGAGCGUUAAUCGGAAUUACUGGGCGUAAAGCGUGCGUAGGCGGUUGGCAAAGUCAGCUGUGAAAGCCCCGGGCUUAACCUGGGAAUGGCGGUUGAAACUAGUCGACUCGAAUCUGGCAGAGGGGGGUGGAAUUCCACGUGUAGCAGUGAAAUGCGUAGAGAUGUGGAGGAACACCGAUGGCGAAGGCAGCCCCCUGGGCUGAGAUUGACGCUCAGGCACGAAAGCGUGGGGAGCAAACAGGAUUAGAUACCCUGGUAGUCCACGCCCUAAACGAUGCGGACUGGACGUUGGGCACAACUUGGUGCUCAGUGUCGAAGCUAACGCGUUAAGUCCGCCGCCUGGGGAGUACGCUCGCAAGAGUG